CAAACUAAAGAUGGCGACCGGCGCACGGGUGAGUAACACGUAUCCAACCUGCCGAUGACUCGGGGAUAGCCUUUCGAAAGAAAGGUUAAUACCCGAUGGCAUAGUUCUUCCGCAUGGUAGAACUAUUAAAGAAUUUCGGUCAUCGAUGGGGAUGCGUUCCAUUAGGUUGUUGGCGGGGUAACGGCCCACCAAGCCUUCGAUGGAUAGGGGUUCUGAGAGGAAGGUCCCCCACAUUGGAACUGAGACACGGUCCAA
rnacentral:rRNA from 1 species